AGCGAACGUUUGCGGCGGGCUUAACACAUGCAAGUCGAACGAGAAUCCCUUCGGGGAGGAAAGUGGCGCACGGGUGCGUAACACGUGGAUAACCAACCCAUUGGUUUGGGACAACACCGGGAAACUGGUGCUAAUACCAGAUGUGUCGCAGCUGUCUUCAGGCGGUUGCGAGAAAGGCCCGCAAGGGUCGCCAACGGACGGGUCCGCGUCCCAUCAGCUAGUUGGUGAGGUAAUGGCUCACCAAGGCAAAGACGGGUAGCUGGUCUGAGAGGAUGAUCAGCCACACUGGAACUGAGACACGGUCCAGACUCCUACGGGAGGCAGCAGUGGGGAAUAUUGCGCAAUGGGCGAAAGCCUGACGCAGCCACGCCGCGUGAGCGAUGAAGGUCUUCGGAUCGUAAAGCUCUGUGGGGGGAGAAGAAGAAAGCCGGUGAAGAGCCGGCCCUGACGGUAUCCCCUUAGCAAGCACCGGCUAACUCUGUGCCAGCAGCCG
rnacentral:rRNA from 1 species